rnacentral:rRNA from 1 species
AUACGUAGGGGGCGAGCGUUGUCCGGAAUGAUUGGGCGUAAAGGGCGCGUAGGCGGCGCGGUAAGUCUGGAGUGAAAGUCCUGCUUUCAAGGUGGGAAUUGCUUUGGAUACUGCCGCGCUUGAGUGCAGGAGAGGUUAUCGGAAUUCCCGGUGUAGCGGUGAAAUGCGUAGAGAUCGGGAGGAACACCAGUGGCGAAGGCGGGUAACUGGACUGCAACUGACGCUGAGGCGCGAAAGUGUGGGGAGCAAACAGGAUUAGAUACCCUGGUAGUCCACACUGUAAACGAUGAGUGCUAGGUGUAAGAGGUAUCGACCCCUUUUGUGCCGGAGUCAACACAAUAAGCAUUCCGCCUGGGGAGUACGGCCGCAAGGUUGAAACUCAAAGGAAUUGGCGGGG